rnacentral:rRNA from 1 species
GGGAUUCCCUUAGUAACGGCGAGUGAAGAGGGAGAAGCCCAGCGCUGAAUCGUAUAGCUAGCAAUGGUUGUGCGAAAUGUAGCGUGAAGUUGGCGGCUAUUGCUGUUGUCGAUGCGUGUAAGUCUCCUUGAGUGGGGCUCAGUCCCAGAGAUGGUGCUAGGCCCGUAUCGCGCGUGACAGGUACAGCAAUGUACGUUAACGGAGAGUCAGGUUGCUUGGGAACGCAAUCUAAAGCCGGUGGUACACUCCAUCGAAGGCUAAAUAUGGCUACGAGUCCGAUAGCGAACAAGUACCGUGAGGGAAAAUUGAAAAGCACUUUGAAGAGAGAGCGAAAUAGUGCGUGAAACCGCUCAGAGGUAAGCAGAUGGGCCUUUGAAGGUGUGCAUAGGAUUUAUUUCCUAGUUCGUACGCCACCGUCGUUGCUUGAUUUUAUGGUGCGCCAUGCGCUGACAUUUGGACACCCGAGAUUGGGACUCGUGCCUGCUCGGGAUGCUCGGUGUUGGACGUAAUGAGUAUAGCGGCACUCGGUAACGAAGCAGGGCAUUGUCGUUGCUGUAAAGCGCCGGCUGUGUUUGCUUGCUGGCGUAUUUUGCUGUUGUAACGAGACGCAAGUCUCGGUAUGCGGCGUACGUUGCAACUCAAGCAUUAGCCCCGGCAUAACGACUU